GAUGAACGCUAGCUACAGGCUUAACACAUGCAAGUCGAGGGGUAACAAGAGGAAAGCUUGCUUUUCUUGUUGACGACCGGCGCACGGGUGAGUAACGCGUAUCCAACCUGCCUAUAACUAGGGAAUAACCUUGCGAAAGUAAGACUAAUACCCUAUGAUUUCCUUUGAUGACAUCAGAUUAGGAAUAAAGAUUUAUCGGUUAUAGAUGGGGAUGCGUCUGAUUAGCUUGUUGGCGGGGUAACGGCCCACCAAGGCAACGAUCAGUAGGGGUUCUGAGAGGAAGGUCCCCCACAUUGGAACUGAGACACGGUCCAAACUCCUACGGGAGGCAGCAGUGAGGAAUAUUGGUCAAUGGGCGGAAGCCUGAACCAGCCAAGUAGCGUGCAGGAUGACGGCCCUAUGGGUUGUAAACUGCUUUUAUACAGGAAUAAAGUUAGCCACGUGUGGUUAUUUGUAGGUACUGUACGAAUAAGGACCGGCUAUUCCGCGCCAGCCGCCGCGGUAA
rnacentral:rRNA from 1 species